UGGUAGCUUAAAAUUAAAGCAAUUAACUUUUAAUUAAAAGAUUGGAAUACCAU
rnacentral:tRNA from 1 species